CCAAGGAGUUUAGCGUGUGCGCAAGUCAUUGGGCGUCAAAACCCAUAGGCGAAAUGAAAGUGAAGAAAACUGACCUUUUCGAGGGAGGAUGGGUUAGGCUCCUCCGUGGGCCGCCUCGCACUCCCGGGGCGUCUCUAUCUCAUUGCGAGAGGAGGCGCACCUAGAGCGUACACGCUGAUACCCGAAAGAUGGUGAACUAUGCCUGGCCAGGACGAAGCCAGGGGAAACCCUGGUGGAGGUCCGCAGCGAUUCUGACGUGCAAAUCGAUCGUCGGAGCUGGGUUUAGGGGCGAAAGACCAAUCGAACCAUCUAGUAGCUGGUUCCCUCUGAAGUUUCCCUCAGGAUAGCUUGCGCUCGGGUUAGACGAGUCUCAUCCGGUAGAGCGAAUGAUUAGAGGCCUUGGGGUCGAAACGACCUCAACCUAUUCUCAAACUCCAAAUAGAUGAGAACUCCGGCUUUCUUGAAAUUUAUUUCUGAAGCCGGGGGCUCGGAUCAGAGUGCCAAGUGGGCCGAUUUU
rnacentral:rRNA from 1 species